GGAUUGGUAGCUCAGUUGGAUAGAGCACCCGCCUUCUAAGCGGACGGUCACAGGUUCGAGUCCUGUCCAAUCCA
rnacentral:tRNA from 1 species